UACGUAGGGUGCAAGCGUUGUUCGGAAUCAUUGGGCGUAAAGCGCGUGUAGGCGGUUUGUUAAGUCGAUUGUGAAACCCCUGGGCUCAACCGAGGAAGUGCAGUCGAAACUAACAAGCUAGAGGACGGCAGAGGAUGGUGGAAUUCCAAGUGUAGAGGUGAAAUUCGUAGAUAUUUGGAGGAAUACCGGGUGGCGAAGGCGGCCAUCUGGACCGGUCCUGACGCUGAGACGCGAAAGCGUGGGGAGCAAACAGG
rnacentral:rRNA from 1 species